rnacentral:rRNA from 1 species
AUUGAACGCUGGCGGUAGGCUUAACACAUGCAAGUCGUGCGAGAAAGUAUCUUCGGAUAUGAGUAGAGCGGCGGACGGGUGAGUAACGCGUAGAAAUCUACCUAGUAGAAGGGGAUAGCCCGGGGAAACUCGGAUUAAUACCGUAUACCUCCUUCGGGAGAAAGAAGGCCUCUCUUUGAAGCUUUCGCUAUUAGAUGAGCCUGCGUAAGAUUAGCUUGUUGGUGAGGUAAAGGCUCACCAAGGCGACGAUCUUUAGCGGGUCUGAGAGGACGAUCCGCCACAUUGGGACUGAGACACGGCCCAGACUCCUACGGGAGGCAGCAGUGGGGAAUAUUGGACAAUGGGCGCAAGCCUGAUCCAGCCAUACUGCGUGUGUGAAGAAGGCCCUAGGGUUGUAAAGCACUUUAAGUUGGGAAGAAAAGUUAUUGGUUAAUACCCAAUAACCGUGACAUUACCAUCAGAAUAAGGACCGGCUAAUUCCGUGCCAGCAGCCGCGGUAAUACGGAAGGUCCAAGCGUUAAUCGGAAUUACUGGGCGUAAAGCGCGCGUAGGUGGUUUAUUAAGUUGGAUGUGAAAUCCCCGGGCUCAACCUGGGAACUGCAUCCAAAACUGAUUCACUAGAGUACGAUAGAGGGAGGUAGAAUUCACAGUGUAGCGGUGGAAUGCGUAGAUAUUGUGAAGAAUACCAAUGGCGAAGGCAGCCUCCUGGAUCUGUACUGACACUGAGGUGCGAAAGCGUGGGUAGCGAACAGGAUUAGAUACCCUGGUAGUCCACGCCGUAAACGAUGUCAACUAGCUGUUGGAAAACUAUGUUUUUCAGUGGCGCAGCUAACGUAGUAAGUUGACCGCCUGGGGAGUACGGCCGCAAGGCUAAAACUCAAAUGAAUUGACGGGGACCCGCACAAGCGGUGGAGCAUGUGGUUUAAUUCGAUGCAACGCGAAAAACCUUACCUAUACUUGACAUACUUGGAAUGCUUUGUAAUGAAGCAGUGCCUUCGGGAGCCAAGAUACAGGUGCUGCAUGGCUGUCGUCAGCUCGUGUCGUGAGAUGUUCCGUUAAGUCGGAUAACGAGCGCAACCCUUACCCUUAUUUGCCAGCGAUUCGGUCGGGAACUAUAAGGGGACUGCCGGUGAUAAACCGGAGGAAGGUGAGGACGACGUCAAGUCAUCAUGGCCCUUACGUAUAGGGCUACACACGUGCUACAAUGGAGAAUACAGACGGACGCUAAGCCGCGAGGUGGUGCUAAUCCUAGAAAAUUCUUCGUAGUCCGGAUUGGAGUCUGCAACUCGACUCCAUGAAGUCGGAAUCGCUAGUAAUCGCGAAUCAGCAUGUCGCGGUGAAUACGUUCUCGGGUCU